rnacentral:tRNA from 1 species
GGGCACAUGGUGUAGUUGGUUAUCACGCUCGCUUAGCAUCAACAAAGGUCUGCGAGAGGUGUUGGGUUCAAUUCCCAAUGUGUCCA